UGCAAAAAAAUCAUAUAUUAACGCAAUUAUGUGCAAUUACUUUGCAGUAAGGUUUGCUGUAAAAUGGAUAAAACAGUAACGUGCUGCGUGAAUGAAGUGGAAAACAGUUGAUGGGAGGAUAUGCAGGUUGUGCCUGAGGUCACAGAGUGCAGAAAGUGAAGGCCGUAGAGUACAGCUGAGAGCCAAGCGCCUCCUUAUUGGUCAGCCCGGACAGAAAAGGGGCGUGUCAAAGCGCGUGAGUCCGCCUAGAAAAAGUGAGGACAGAGACAGUGUCCAGAGCGGGAGGGUGAUGUCUGUCUUAUCCUCAGCUACGGCUCGGACGGAGCGAGAUGAGCCAUGAAUCCACCUCACUUUGAGUUGCCAUCUUUUCCAGCGCUCUGCAUACUAACAGCGUUACGUAAUUAUACAGUUAUACGAAUGACCGGGUUACGCCAAAAAACCACACACUACCGCACUAAAUACCGUACGAGGCGUAGUUUUGUGCGUACUGUUUCGACGGGUAGUGAUUCAACGCUCGCUUAAAGUUCGAGCCCGGUCAAAAACAAACAAACAAACAGCCGUUUGAAACGGGAAGCGCGUCGGUACUGAAAGUUGGAGGCAGGUCGAAAACUGUGUACAAGACUGAAGAACAUGGCGAGGGUCGGUUUAGAGAACGGCGUCUUAAUUACCUGCUCGAAAAGAGCGCAUAAAACUCCGAGGCGAGCCGGUAAACACCGCGACGUGAACAGGAACGAGGCAGCGAGCGGAAAAAGCCACUGACGACCGAGUUCAAGUCUUCAGAGAAAUUCGCUGAAAGCAAGGCUGACAACGAUGUGAAAACUCCGCCUGUUCCACGCCUGACCUUUCCCACAACAAUCAUUGCAUGCAUUAAGCGAGGAGCCCGAAAGCAAGAGAAAGCGCUUGUCCAGUAAGAGGAAAUAGGCCUCAAGAAUGCGAAAAGCUCCAAUUCAGGCGGGUUCACAGGGUCUGGGAGUGGCCACAUCCUCAAGAGAGGGGGGAUCUUGGACUGGAGCCAUGAGAGCUGUGCUGGCCAGGCAGAUGACGUAGAUGAGCAGCAUUUUGGGGAAUUGGAGUGAUGAAGUGAUGUUUACAUGGAGAGAAAUGAAGAAAACCAUUACGGCAAGAGUAAAUUCAUGUAAGAUACACUGAGUGUCCCUGAAGCUAAGUGGCAUCACUGUUGUGCAUUUGAAUCCUAAGAAUUUUUUUAUUAUUGUUUUUAAUUCCGACAUUCCCUGACCCUAUAUUUAGUGAACCAUAAUAGUAGUUUGUAAAUUCCUGUAAUGCCAAUGAAGAUCCUGGGCAGUGCAUUUGACACACAUUGUACUGCUGAAUAACUGGUAAGCAAUUUGGAUGUAAAAACAAGAACCACAUAAUGAAAUUGUAAUGCUAAUUCAAAAAGGUCAUUUUAAAAUCUUUGCAGCAAUUGUUUACUGGUUAACAGUUCACUGUUUUCCUGUGGGGGAGUUUGCAAUAACCUGAAACAGCACCUUGAUCACUUAUGCAAGGUUAUUGUUGAAUAUACAGUGUACCGUUAUAGUACUGUAUUUAAUUUAAAUGUUAUGUGCUGUAAUGUAUAUCUUGUUUAAUAAAUCAUUUUUUUUAAAAAUCAACCAUACUGCUUGUUGUGUGGUAACUCUACAGGUCCUACUAACA
ensembl:lncRNA